rnacentral:tRNA from 1 species
UCCCUCAUAGCUCAGUUGGUAAAGAAUCUGCCUGCAAUGCAGGAGAUCCAGGUUCAAUUCCUGGGUCGGGAA